AGACCAUGAUGUGGAACCGAAGCGAGCAAAUCCUUGUACCGCUCCCAACCUUUAUAGAAUGUUUCCCCCUCUUUCUGUUUGAAGUUUUGAAUUUGUUCCUUGAGGAGUUU